rnacentral:rRNA from 1 species
AACGAACGCUGGCAGCAUGCCUAACACAUGCAAGUCGAACGAUUGCCUUCGGGUGAUAGUGGCGCACGGGUGCGUAACGCGUGGGAAUCUGCCCUUAGGUUCGGAAUAACAGCUGGAAACGGCUGCUAAUACCGGAUGAUAUCGCGAGAUCAAAGAUUUAUCGCCUGAGGAUGAGCCCGCGUUGGAUUAGGUAGUUGGUGGGGUAAAGGCCUACCAAGCCGACGAUCCAUAGCUGGUCUGAGAGGAUGAUCAGCCACACUGGGACUGAGACACGGCCCAGACUCCUACGGGAGGCAGCAGUGGGGAAUAUUGGACAAGGGGCGCAAGCCUGAUCAAGCAAUGCCGCGUGAGUGAUGAAGGCCGUAGGGUUGUAAAGCUCUUUUACACGGGAAGAUAAUGACUGUACCGGGAGAAUAAGCCCCGGCUAACUCCGUG